rnacentral:lncRNA from 1 species
UCUUCUUUGUCGCAUAUGUCGGUGAGCAAAGGAUCAGGGCCUUUGGCUGCAUUUGUCUGGAUCAUCCUCAUCUUCUUCUUCUGGAUUGGUUUCUUUGAGUGGAAAGUAUUUAUUUGCACGGAUUGGUGAUGAUUGUACGGUUUCUUCGGAUGAAACUGGUUUGCGUCCAGCUUCUGCAAAGAUUUCUUUCAUUUGUUGUUCAAGGGUUUCUUUAGUAGCAUUGGGAUUGGCUUGAAGCAUGUUUCGCAAAUAUGUGGGAAAAUCAAAUGAAGUAUUGGCAGUAUUAUAUCCGGUUGGAUUGGGAUUGUAUAUAGGUUUUUGUGGCGGAAUUCUUUUU